rnacentral:rRNA from 1 species
ACAUGCAAGUCGAGCGGUAGCACAGGGGAGCUUGCUCCCUGGGUGACGAGCGGCGGACGGGUGAGUAAUGUCUGGGAAACUGCCUGAUGGAGGGGGAUAACUACUGGAAACGGUAGCUAAUACCGCAUAACGUCGCAAGACCAAAGAGGGGGACCUUCGGGCCUCUUGCCAUCAGAUGUGCCCAGAUGGGAUUAGCUAGUAGGUGGGGUAAUGGCUCACCUAGGCGACGAUCCCUAGCUGGUCUGAGAGGAUGACCAGCCACACUGGAACUGAGACACGGUCCAGACUCCUACGGGAGGCAGCAGUGGGGAAUAUUGCACAAUGGGCGCAAGCCUGAUGCAGCCAUGCCGCGUGUGUGAAGAAGGCCUUCGGGUUGUAAAGCACUUUCAGCGAGGAGGAAGGUGGUGAACUUAAUACGUUCAUCAAUUGACGUUACUCGCAGAAGAAGCACCGGCUAACUCCGUGCCAGCAGCCGCGGUAAUACGGAGGGUGCAAGCGUUAAUCGGAAUUACUGGGCGUAAAGCGCACGCAGGCGGUUUGUUAAGUCAGAUGUGAAAUCCCCGGGCUCAACCUGGGAACUGCAUUUGAAACUGGCAAGCUAGAGUCUCGUAGAGGGGGGUAGAAUUCCAGGUGUAGCGGUGAAAUGCGUAGAGAUCUGGAGGAAUACCCGGUGGCGAAGGCGGCUCCCCUGGACGAAGACUGACGCUCAGUGCGAAAGCGUGGGGAGCAAACAGGAUCUAGAUACUCCUGGUAGUCCACGCUGUAAACGAUGUCGAUUUGGAGGUUGUGCCUGAGGCGUGGCUUCCGAGCUAACGCGUUAAAUCGACCG